CUGCAUUCCUGAGUCUGGAGACUGAACUGAGUGACAUUAUGACUGGUGAUAUGACUCUGAGGUGUAACGUCUCAGACAGCAGGCAGUGGAACUACACCUGGUUCAUGAACGGACAGCAGCUCAAUGGAUCCUCAGAUGUACUCAAAGUGACAGGAAAUGAAGAAACAAUCAAAAGUGAAUUCAAGUGCAAGGGAAUUAACACAGUGAGACCGCUGUACUCCGCUCUGAGUGACGGCUUCAUAGCCAAUAAUAUUAUAUUCAAAAGAAAAAUACUGCUGGCCAUCUCAGGAUGUCUCCUCUGCUGUAUUGUAAUCCUGAUCAUUGGAUGCAUCGUUCUAAAAAUCACCCGUAAACCAGAGGUCAAAGAAGCAGCACCAGAGGACUUGUUUUUCUCAAUGACAGACUCGAAGAACCGUAAGUUUUACACUGUGCGUGUGCAUGUGAGUGUGUGUAAAAUUUCUCUGCAUUU
rnacentral:lncRNA from 1 species